CAGUUAAGCAGGAGCUCUCUGGCAUAAAAUUGAAAAGCAGUGUGGCUGCAGCUUGUUGAAAAAGAGAUCAGACAAGCAUGAGAGCAGACAGGUAGAUGAAAUGAAAAAAUACUGUCUUGGGUGACUCUCUUCAGUGAUAGGAGGGAAAGUGACAAGACCUAACUGAAGAGAUAAAUGUAUGGAAAAUUCUCAGAUCAUCUGGCAGAGGAAAGCUGAAGUGGACCAGAGAGAAUGCAUGAUUCCCAUUUCUGCUGAAUUACCCAGUAUAUGUGACACAGAAGACAACUGAAGACAGCUCUGAGAGACCAGUUCAGUGCUUUGCUUUAUGUGGAUAAGGUUUUGGAUGGGAUUUACUGCAACAUGACCAAUGCCUAAAAAAACCCCCAUUAAUAUCACAAUUUUGAACAAGAGAAUAAUUAAAAACUUGGUUGCAAACUGGUAAAAAUGGAGGACAAUUGUACACCAUGCAAAUGAAAUGAAAACCUCGUGUUUUUAUUUAACA